rnacentral:rRNA from 1 species
GACGAACGCUGGCGGCGUGCUUAACACAUGCAAGUCGCACGGCAAGGCCCUGCUUUUGUGGGGUGCUCGAGUGGCGACCGGGCGAGUAACACGAGAGUGUACUGCCCCUGCCCUUGGCAUCACUACAGGCAACCGGGGGUCAUACUGGAUACGUGCGUCUGCUGUUUGGUGGGGGUUGGUAAGUUUGGGCGGUUGGGGAUGGACUAGCGGCUUAGCAGCUUGUUGGUGGGGGAGUGGCUUACCACGGGUUUGGCGGGUAGUCGGCCUGAGAGGGUGACCGGCCACAUUGGGACAGAGAUACGGCCGGGAGCCCUACGGGAGGCAGCAGUGUGGAAUAUAGCACGAUGGGGGGAAGCCGGAUGCAGCAAGGCCGCGUGCUGGAUGACGGCCUUCGGUUAGGAAGCCACUUUCGCCUGUGAGGAAGCGUGAUUGACGGUAAUGGGUAAAUAAGCACCGGCUAACUACGUG